rnacentral:misc_RNA from 1 species
AAAAAGAUACGGGAAAUGUGUAAAACGACAAUACUGCACAAAGAGGAAGUAUCCUUGUAAACCGCAAUACAGUAGAAAACAGGAAGGGCGCUUUCAGUGUGAUGUACCAAGAUGUUCUUAACAAAUCAGUGACUUCACUGAAGAAAAAUCGCCUGCAUUGUCCGAAGUUUGGGCACUGGACUACUUUUUUUGAAUGUGUUAAUGCAUUUCUACAUUUUUUUAUCCACCACAGUAAAAACAAAGAGUGAAUGAAUAUAUGUCAUUGUCUAAGGUAGAUGUGACACGUGACCGCGGGUCGUCAGAGGCAAGAUGACCUAGUUUAUGUGGAUGGUCGGCUGGACCGAAGAAAUAAAUCCAGAUAUAUCCAGUUAUUUGUUUCAAUAAAUACUUUGUUCGUUUUUC